UUUGAGUUACAAGUGUUAACGAACUUGAUAACUUGUGCAGAUCUAUGCUGAACAGGUUGGAAAUUUUAUCACUGCAGAGUAUGUGGAUCUUGAAAUCCUAUGGGAUAGAGCUAAUGAUGCCAUUAACACCAUAAUUCUGGUGUUUUCUUGUAGCCUUGUAUUAAGAUUCAAAUGCGUAUUUCUCAAACUGGCUGAAUUUAUCAGUCGGGAAGUACAACUAAAUUCAAGAUUCACCUAUGCUCACACGCUUUGUGGUCAAGAGUAUGAAUUUCAUCACAAUUCUUUAUACUUGAGUAUAAAAUUUCCUACUUGGUAAUCUACGUAUGGAUUUUAUGUUUUAUUACAGAUAUUUGGCAUUGGAGGAUUUUGAAAAUGGUGGAACAUUAUCAGUUGUCC
rnacentral:lncRNA from 1 species